GUGCGAGCUAGUCAGGAGAGCGGGGUAGAAGUGGGCGUCUGCUGCUCUGGGGAAAGAGGAAAGCUGUGGCUCCCUCUGGGAUCCGGGGGUCGUGGUGAGAAGCCGUUCCGAGCGCUAGCCCAAGCCCCGUUUUUUGUCGCGCCUCUCCACAAGGAGCAUCCGUGGGCUGCCCGCCCUGAAACUGGCAGGCUGGUGUGGUUUGGCCCCAGCCGUCCCUCCCAUUUCGCCCGCCCCCGCCUUCAGUGCCUUAGUUCGCGAAGCCGCCGACCUCUCGCAGCUGGAACUGCAGGCUAGGGAGGACCCCAGCAGCCCACGGCGCCCCAGAGUCUGAGGACAUCCGCCUUUGCCCUCCCGGGCUGGCGCCCCGCACGUCGUGCUCCUCGCUAGUUAAGUUUCCCUGUGGAGAAGAAGCCCCUCUAGCUUUCUCUGGAUCCUGUAGCGCGCGCGCGCGCUCGACCUCUCUGCCCCCGAGACUGCGCUCCGGCCCGGGCUGUGCCUCUGCUUCUGCCCCCCGCCGGCCGCCUUGGGGGCGGAGCUUGGGGAAUCGGUGGAGCAGGCGGGAGAACCUUCGACUCGGCGCGGGUCCCGGGAGAGCAGCGGCGAGCGGGCGAGCCAAUAGCCACAGUCUAACGAUAGCUUAGGGUACCUAGGCACUGCAAUGAGCCCCCGAAGGGACGCUCAGGCUGCACCCCCUCUUCUGCCCUGGUUCAGUUCUCGGCAGGUUUGAGAGGGCAUACUGGUCAGGACUCCUGGAGAGGUGCUACUGAGUGUUGGCGCCCCAACAGAGUGGCUACCCCCCUCCCUGCGGGGCUGGAAAAGGCGAAGGGGCCAAGGAGGCAGCUGUCUCCAAGUCUUCCACGUGCCUGGAAUUGGACUUCGGACUGGGCGCUAAAAUGGUUGCUUUUGCCCUGUCCAGGUUUCAUAGCACGUAUGUUGACGAUUGGAAUCCUGGGCCAAUGAAGAGUCAAGUUCAAAGUGGUACUCCUUGGUUCUCCAUCCCAUACUCCAACAGGUGUAACUUGAAACUAUAAAGAGGGGUCUCCUGCUUUAACUAGCAGAUCUCCGUUCUGGAAUUGUACUUGACUGCUCUCUUCAAUACUUGGACUGCAGUGGCUACAGGGUUCUCUUGGGUGGGGGUGGGGUUGCUCCGAAGACCAGGCUGAAACACCCGGAACCUCAACAAUGGACCGAGUUUAUGAAAUUCCUGAGGAGCCCACCAUGGAUCCAAUUUCAUCUCUGGAGGAAGAUGUCAUCCGUGGGGCCAACCCCCGAUUUACCUUUCCAUUUGGCAUCCUCUUCUCCACCUUUUUGUACUGUGGGGAGGCUGCAUCUGCCUUGUACAUGGUUAGAAUCUAUCGAAAGAAUAGCGAAACCUACUGGAUGACAUACACCUUAUCCUUCUUUAUGUUUUCAUCCAUUAUGGUCCAGUUGACCCUCAUUUUUGUUCACAGAGAUCUGGCCAAAGACAAGCCGCUAUCAUUGUUUAUGCAUCUAAUCCUCUUGGGACCUGUUAUCAGAUGUUUGGAGGCCAUGAUUAAGUACCUCACACUGUGGAAGAAAGAGGGGCAGGAGGAGCCCUAUGUCAGCCUCACCCGAAAGAAGAUGCUAAUAAAUGGCGAGGAGGUGCUGAUAGAAUGGGAGGUGGGCCACUCCAUCCGGACCCUGGCUAUGCACCGCAAUGCCUACAAACGUAUGUCACAGAUCCAAGCCUUCCUGGGCUCAGUGCCCCAGCUGACCUAUCAGCUCUAUGUGACUCUGAUCUCUGCAGAGGUCCCCCUGGGUAGAGCUGUGCUAAUGGUCUUUUCCCUGAUAUCUGUCACCUAUGGGGCUACCCUGUGCAAUAUGUUGGCUAUCCAGAUCAAGUAUGAUGAAUACAAGAUUCGCCUUGGGCCAUUGGAAGUCCUCUGCAUCACCAUCUGGCGGACAUUGGAGAUCACUUCCCGCCUCGUGAUUCUGGUGCUCUUCUCAGCCACCUUGAAAUUGAAAGCUGUGCCGUUCUUACUGCUCAACUUCCUGAUCAUCCUCUUUGAGCCCUGGGUUAAGUUCUGGAGGAGUGGUGCCCAGAUGCCCAAUAACAUUGAGAAAAAUUUCAGCCGGGUCGGCACCCUGGUGGUGCUGAUUUCCAUCACCGUUCUCUAUGCGGGCAUCAACUUCUCUUGCUGGUCAGCUUUGCAGUUGAAAUUGGCAGACAGGGACCUUGUUGACAAAGGUCAGAACUGGGGGCAUAUGGGCCUGCACUAUAGUGUAAGGUUGGUAGAGAACGUGAUCAUGGUUUUGGUUUUCAAGUUCUUUGGAGUGAAAGUGUUACUGAAUUACUGUCAUUCCUUGAUUGCUUUGCAGCUCAUCAUUGCUUAUGUGAUUUCCAUUGGCUUCAUGCUCCUUUUCUUUCAAUACUUGCACCCAUUGCGCUCACUCUUUACCCACAACGUAGUGGAUUACCUCCAUUGUGUCUGCUGCCACCGGCACCCUCGGGGCAGGAUUGAGAACUCAGAGCCAUCCUGUGCUGCCGAAGCAAGGCAAAGCGUUGUCUGAGAUUCUAUCUUCCGGGUCUUUUGGGAUAGGCUGGGGGCUGCCAAGAGCAACUUUGCCAUUGAAGGAAAGGACGAGGCUCAUAGUGAUGAAAGAAAGUACCAUUGGGUUCAGGCCCUCUGCUUAUAUUUUCUCAGGGAUCAGAGCAGCAAGCAACUAAAGAGUGCAUUGUUAUAAUUGCUUUACAUAUUUUAACUCAUUUAAUUCUUGCAACAACCCAUUUUAUGGAUGAAUGAAAUGAGGCAGACUUCAAAUCCCGGUAGACUGGCUCUGAAAUCUGUGUUUCUAGCCACUAUGCCACACCAGAUCACUGCCUCUAGGGAAGCCUAACCACCUCACCUUCUGUCUGUUAAUAUAAACUACUACUUGGAGAUUUUUGCCAUGAGGAACCUACACACUAAGUUACAGAUGAAGAAACUGAGGCCGAAAAAAGUGAGACUUUUCCAAGGCAACACUGAUAUUGAGUGGGACCUGGGAGUUCAAUUCAGCUUCAUCACUCCAUGUUGUCUUCAAUAGAGGUCGCUUUGUGAGGUCUGGUUGUGAUCCAACAUAGGGAAAAGAAUUUAAAAGAACAAUAAAUAAUAAAAUAAUUCAUUUUAAACAAUACCACAUUAUCAUUACGGGAUGUUUUAUUUUUAGACACUGUGAUCAAGGCCAGAUUAAUACCUUUAGAGGCUCUAAGUUCUAAAAAAGAGAAGGCUGUCUUUCCCAAACCAUCCUCUAUGGAUUCAAAUUAAAAACAAUUAAUAAUAAUUACAGUUAUAAAUGGUAAAUUAAAUACAAAUACCAUGUUUUUUUUAUCAUGACUGCUUAAAUCCUUCUUUUUGAAAACCAACAAUCAAAUUCUCUUUUCUUCAAGAUUUUUAUUCUUUUAGGUCCUCUCUACACCCAACAUGGGGAUUGAGCUCACAGCCCCGAGAUCAAGAGUCAUGUGCUCUUCCAACUGAGCCAGCCAGGCACCCCCCAACAAUCAAAGUCUUAGAAGAAUUCUUGAACGCUUUUUUCUGGGUGUCCUAAGUACAUGGUUUCAACUGUUAAGUAGUUCAGUACUGACCAUUACUGUUACAUAUUAAUUCCUGGAAAAGGUGUAUAAAAGUUACAAUUGUAAACAUAAGUUUGGGACAAACAAUGACAGAGGCGUGAUCAGGAAGAAGACAGAGCAAGCAAGUCAGGGAGGGGCUCUGUGUUUGCAAUUUACAAACAUCUACCUAGGAUGGGUGGAAUCAACUGUCUAUAGGAAAUCUUUCCGAAAGACUACAGCCUAUAGUGUAACUGUGGAUAAGUUACCGAUGGCAUUUAAGUACUCCCUAGAGGUCUCCAGGAAGUAGCCAACCCCAAACUUGUCAAUCUAUAAACCUGGGAAAUGCAAACAUUAAGACAGUCUGGUAAAACAGAAGGGAGGGGAGGUAUUAUAAGGUCUACAGCCAAAAGAAGGAAAGCAAUUCUUGGAGAAUUUACAAAAAAGGGCGAGGUUGACGGUAAGAAUUUUUUUAGUGUGUCCAGGAUUGCCCAAGAAAGAGGAGCCUCAGAUUUGGGGCAUGAAUAUUUUAUUUGGAUUAAUAUAAUCCUAUUUUGAAAGGGCCCAACUGAUCUUGCUACUGUAGUUUGUUAAUAAUAUUCCAUUAAGAUCAUCAGACUCUCUUUGCCCAGAUUCCAUGCCCACCGAUUUAUCAACUGACUUCUUAGUACUCUGAUAUUGGGAAUAGGGGCCCCUUACCACAGACACAAGGCUCUAUUCAGUGUGGCAUGUAUAAUCCUUUAGAUAAUACAUAAAUUGUCAUCUAGAUUAUAAAUCAUUCUCUUAUGAAUCACGGGAUCUCAACAUUGGAGCAUACUUCAAAGACAUUUAAUUAACCAUCCGGUACUGAAAUCCCCCCUAUAAAAUAGCUGGCAAGGAGUCAUUCCUUUUUCCUUAAGCAUCUCAAAUAACAGGAAAUUCGUUACCUCUUCACUUCUCUGAACACCUGUGUUAGAAAAUUUUGCUUUGUAUUGAACAAAAAUGUAUUACUACUUUAGAGCCCUCAGUCUUAGGUUGACCUCUUGGGACCACAUACAAAACAAACUAAAUCUCAAGAAAAAGAAAGAAAGAAAGAAAGAAAACCCACACACAAAAAGAUACCCAAACGUAGAUAAGCUCAUGUUCUGGACAAAUCUCUUUUCCAGGCCAAAUUCCCUAAAUCCUUUAACACCUCCUAAUAUAAGAUGGUUUCAAAUCAUUACAACAUCCUGGUUACUCUCCUAAGGGCAGGCUUUAGUUUCUCUUUUAAGGUGUGGUCUUGGGCAUGGUCAAGUGCUUUUGUAAUAUUUGCAAAAGUAAGAUAUUUUUAUCACACGUGGUUAAGAUGAUGGUCUCUUUCUACUCCUCCUUCCUCUCUGUCAUACUUUCCCUCAUGUCAAGCCACACUGGAGCGGCCAUGAGUAUUUCUGGAUAGAGCUAGUGGAAGUUGUGUUGGUGGUAUAUGUAGUUUGGAUUUAGGAGAAUAUAUAUAGCGUGGUUCACUGAUACUUUCAUGUAUAGUUAACUGAUUGCUAGCUUAGUGUAGGAAUGGCUUCCAGGAAUCCCCUUACCACCCACUGUGCUAAUUUCACGUAGCAUUGUGACUCUAAGUUGCAGGCAUGUUAGAAAGCUAAUGAAAGUGUUGUUUUUAUGAGUUUUGUGAUAGUGAAGAGAUUUUUCAGCUUUUUAAAAUAUAAAAUGUGCUAUGCAUUGAACUGUACCCUUACAAUGAGGAAAUUUUAUGGUAUGUAAAUUUUAUCUCAAUAAAGCUGUUAAAAAUGUGCU